CAUAUAUCACUAAUGAAAGCCUUUUAUUCAGCAUGAAUUUCAUAUCUUGUCAUCUAUUUCUUUUAUCAUAUAUCUAGUUUUCUUAAUCUUUUUUUCGGCUUUGGACUAAUCAAGAUCAUAUCUCAAUUCUUGAUCUGACCCAAAAUCUCAUGCGUAAGUCCAUAGAGGCUAUCUCAAGCAUGAGCUUCUGACGGGCUGUCCCAGGUAUGAGCUCCUGACGGGUUAUCCUAGACAUAAGCUUCUAAAGGUUGUCUCACAUAUGAAAGUCCGUAGAGACUGUCUCAGACAUAAGCUUCUGACAG
rnacentral:lncRNA from 1 species